rnacentral:rRNA from 1 species
UACGGAGGGUGCAAGCGUUAUCCGGAUUUACUGGGUUUAAAGGGUGCGUAGGCGGGCCUUUAAGUCAGUGGUGAAAGCUCCGAGCUUAACUCGGAAACUGCCAUUGAUACUAUUGGUCUUGAAUUCGGUCGAGGUUGGCGGAAUGUGUCGUGUAGCGGUGAAAUGCUUAGAUAUGACACAGAACACCGAUUGCGAAGGCAGCUAGCUAGACCGACAUUGACGCUGAGGCACGAAAAGCGUGGGGAUCAAACAGG